GUGCCAGCCGCCGCGGUAAUACGAAGGGGGCUAGCGUUGCUCGGAAUCACUGGGCGUAAAGGGUGCGUAGGCGGGUUUUUAAGUCAGGGGUGAAAGCCUGGAGCUCAACUCCAGAACUGCCCUUGAUACUGGGAAUCUUGAGUAUGGGAGAGGUAAGUGGAACUGCGAGUGUAGAGGUGAAAUUCGUAGAUAUUCGCAAGAACACCAGUGGCGAAGGCGGCUUACUGGCCCAUUACUGACGCUGAGGCACGAAAGCGUGGGGAGCAAACAGGAUUAGAUACCCUGGUAGUCC
rnacentral:rRNA from 1 species